rnacentral:rRNA from 1 species
UACGUAGGGUGCGAGCGUUGUCCGGAAUUAUUGGGCGUAAAGGGCUCGUAGGCGGUUUGUUGCGUCGGCUGUGAAAUCCCGAGGCUCAACCUCGGGUCUGCAGUCGAUACGAGCAAACUAGAGUGUUGCAGGGUAGACUGGAAUUCCUGGUGUAGCGGUGAAAUGCGCAGAUAUCAGGAGGAACACCGGUGGCGAAGGCGGGUCUCUGGGCAACAACUGACGCUGAGGAGCGAAAGCGUGGGGAGCGAACAGG